rnacentral:rRNA from 1 species
AAAUAGUACUUUGCAGAGAGAGUUAACAGGGCGUGAAACCGUUAAUUGGCAAACGAAUCGGAGCCACGAAGUCGUUUCGUUGAGUUGGGCUGAGUUCAGCCUAGAACCUCGGUUCUAGGUGUAUUCUUGGUUCGACCUUUGUAAGCGUACACUGCAACCAGUUAGACGAUUGAGGAUGGGCCCAGUCAAAUGGAGGCUUGCUUCCGUUUGACGCAGCGUUUGUUUGCUCAGGCUAGUAGUAGUGCGGUGCAUUUCGGUGCAUUCGUAUUGCUGGGUCUGUGGCAAGUGAGCUAUCCUCAAAUACUGACUGGCAAAAUGAAAAUCGCGAAAGCGUUUUACAAAAAGCUGCUUAGCGCAUAGAUGUCUACGUAGCUGACCAUGGGGUCCUAAGCUCGGCAUUCUUGAAUUUAGGCUUGCUUGCUACCGGUGGGGCAACUCUCGGUGCUUGUAUAGUUUCUAUCUAAUCGGGUGUUGACUUGAUUCUGUGUCGUUCAGUUGCGCUAUGAUAGGAUGCCUAUGCGACUAGGUUUGCAAUUAUUGGCAGUGAGUAGGUCGGCUUUCCGAACGA